GAUGUGUGUAGUUAAAGUUCAGCUUCCUGCAUCUUCCAUAGCCCCUGAAGUGUUAAUCUGAAGAAACAGUUUCAUGAGUUUCCACAGGCCAGUAGUGAGUCUCCUACACUUGACCUAGACAGACUUACAUAACGAAGCAUCAGUGCUGGGGAGCUUGUACGAUGUCAUCACCAGCAAGAAUAAGAAGUAUUGGCAGCAGUAAGCAGGCAGGCAGGCUGGGAUUUUGCAUGGAAAUCAUGAGCCCUGCCUUGCUUUUCUUUUCUGAAAUGUUUUGGAAGGAGAGUUAUGAAUAGCCCAGAAAUAGGUCUCAUUUUUGUGUGUGGGAAGAAUGACCAGAAGCAUGAAAGCUAAACCUUCCAGCCAGUGCAAGGUAUCUCUCGUGGAGGGUGCAGUAAACCCGGGAGGAGGAAUUGCCUUCUGUGAACUUCUAAAGCAUCACAUCUGGAGUGAAGAGGACGGUAAAGCGGUGGCAUAAUGCAGAGGAUGCUGCUGAGAGCUUCGGUCUGCCUUUAACUCAUUGUGGCAAAGUUGGACAUCCCAAAGAUGGCGUAGAUGAACAUGACCAGGAAAAGCAGGAGGCCGAUGUUGAACAGCGCAGGAAGGGACAUCAUCAGAGCGAAGAGCAGCGUGCGGAUGCCCUUGGCGCCUUUGAUCAGACGUAGGAUUCGGCCAAUCCUGGCCAGGCGGAUGACUCGGAACAGGAUAUGAGGCAGUGAGUACUUUAAAGAAUAACGAUGAUGAUAUUGCUGUGAAUGGAGAGUGCAUCACAGAGAAACCUGUCAUCCAAGUGAAGAGAGAAGUGUUCCAUCUAAAAAAACAACAGAAGCUGCACCUUGGCAAGAGCAAGAAUGUCAGCAAAGAAUUGGCAUGAGAAACCCUGACACCUUGAAGGAUGAUGAUGACGACACGAAAGUCAAAAUGUGGAUGUCAUAUUUAAAAGCCAAUUCAGUAGAAUUUAAAGAUUUUUAGUGGUAUUUCCAAGAUACUGUUCAAUAAAAUUGUUCUCAUCAGUAAUUUCACAGGUUUCUCACUGGACCUGGCACUCACCAUUUCAACUAGACUGGCUGGCUCCCUGCAUCCCCCUGUGUCUGCUUCCCCAUCACUGGAAUUAAAGACAAGUGUUACCAGACUUGACUAUCAUAUGGAUGCUUGGGAUCUGGUCAUGAUGAAUUGUAUAACAAGCACUUUAUCCCUUGAGUCAUCUCUUCAGCCAAAAUAUAUUCUUAUUGUAAAACUAUUAAUUGACGAUUUUUGGCAGUUAGUACUUCGAUGACUUUUCACUGAUCUAAAAUGUCCAAAUAUGUAGUAAUUUUUUAAUCUUGCUAGGAAUAACAUUUGAAUUAUAAAUCACUGAGAAGUAUAUGUCAUGUAUCUAAUGUGAUGAAGACCUCACUGAAAUUGUAUAUUUUCAUGCAGUAGAUUGUUGCCUGAAAUUUCUGUCCUACCUGAUCCCACAGCUGUUUAGUCCCAAAUAAACACACAGAGGUCUACACUAAUUAUAAACUCAUUGGCCUAUUAGUUCAGGCUUCUUAUUAACUCUUAUAACUUAUAUUAGCCCAUAAUUCUUGUCUGUGUUAGCCACAUGGCUUGGUACCUUUUUUGGCGAGGCAGUUACAUUUUGUUUGCUCUGUGUCUGGCUUCCUCUCUGUCUGGGUGAUGACUGCAGCCUGAAACUUCCCUCUUCCCAGAAUUCUCGUUGCCCUGCCUCUACUUUCUGCCUGGUUUCCCCAUCUCUACUUCCUGCCUGGUUGUUCCACCUAUACUUCCUGCCUGGCUACUGACCAAUCAACAUUUAUUUAAAAUACAAGUGACAGGGUACAGACCAUUUUCCCAUAGCACUUCAUUAAUUUCUAUGUAAAAUAUCUAAACAUAUA